UCUUCCUCGCUCUACCAGCGCCGCCGUCCUCCCUCCACCUUAGCGCCGCCCGCCUCCCUUCCUCGGCUGCCCUGCCUUCCUCCACCGACCACUAGCCACCGGAGGUGUGGAUACUGCCUCGACCACCUGCUCCCACCCCGCCAUGACCCCUCACCCUUGGGUUGCUGGAUCCCGUCCGUUGAGCGCCGAAUCUCGUCGGCCCUGGAGCCGCGCGAACACCACAGCUCCCAUCUUGGCCCCGGCCGCCAUCCCCCUACCCUCGAGCUCCACUCCAGAAUCCCGCCUUUUACCCCUCAAGCUCCACCGCCGGGAUCCCACUGUUGAUGAACCCUGCCUCCAUCAGCUCCACUUCACCAGAGUCGUCAGUCCGCAGGUGUAGGGGUCACAGGUUCACCCGAUCGUAAAAAAGAAAUAAACUGGUGCGUCUUGACGCCAUGACAAGCUAGCCCUUUGAGCACUUUGGAGACCUUGUGCGUAGUAAGAACUGGAAACAAAUGCUCACUUUCAGUACAAAACAGUGUGGUAGAAAUCUAUGGAUGGAUGAUGGUUAGUGUGGUUGAAUGGUUCAGCUUGCGUGUGUAUUUCUCAUUGUUCAUUUCAGUUUGGUUAUGCUACUCGGAUGGUUUAGAAGCACAUGUUUGAAGAUGAUUUCUCUCCAUGUUUGGUUUUGCCUUUCCCGCUGAUCUAUUUUUUCUCUGAACUUUCAGUUAUGGCUGCUUAUAGAGAAGAGAGAUGGUCAACAUUGUUUGCUUGUGUAUGCUAGUGAAGUGGCACGAUUCAUUUUUCUUGUACUUUAACUACAAACUUUUGAGAAAGUACGCCCUCUUUGUUUUUGAGAAAAGUUCAAGUAUGAUUGUUUGAAAAGUACAAAAAUGAAUGUCUUGAAUAACAUCAAAAAAAUAUGUGUUAAAUGCCUUAGACGUGAGUCCUCUAAAGCUAAUUAAUAGUCUGUAUAAUAGCAAACUUUAAGAUGUCUUUCAUUUCCUUAUCUUAUUUCAGUGAGAAUUCCUCCAAUAAACUGUUAUUCUUAUUUCAGUGACACACUCAGUUUAGUCCACGAGUGGUUCUGCCUCGCGUCCGGUCGACGGCAUCCACGAGCGCGAGCAGCCCGUAUCCGGCGGCAAGAUGAAGGUCACCCAUGAACCAUGCUUCCCCUAAUCACCUCCACCUUGUGUGAAUUCGCAGCUGAGAAUAAGCACAAGCACCUACAGUCCCCCGGUGGCUUUGGCCGCACUUGGCUACUAGCUCGUCCACCAUGGUGACUCGUAGCCGUCCAAGUGGAACGCGGACAUCAGUCCAAGCAGAACUAGUUCGUAUAAACUGACUGUUAUGUAUAAUUAGGGGAUCCAAUGUUGAAAAGUUCAAUUAAGCUGUGUGUGCAAAUUCAAAGAAUUAUUGUAGGAAAGUUUAGAAGUUUGUUUUUGUGAGGAAAAUGUAUGAUUUUCAAUCAGUAUUUGGUGUGAUUCAUUUGCCUCGGGUGCAACC